GAUGAACGCUGGCGGCGUGCCUAAUACAUGCAAGUCGAGCGAACAGAUGAGGAGCUUGCUCCUCUGACGUUAGCGGCGGACGGGUGAGUAACACGUGGAUAACCUACCUAUAAGACUGGGAUAACUUCGGGAAACCGGAGCUAAUACCGGAUAAUAUAUUGAACCGCAUGGUUCAAUAGUGAAAGACGGUUUUGCUGUCACUUAUAGAUGGAUCCGCGCUGCAUUAGCUAGUUGGUAAGGUAACGGCUUACCAAGGCAACGAGGCGUAGCCGACCUGAGAGGACGAUCGGCAGCACGGGAACGGGGACACGGUCCAGACUCGGACGGGAGGCAGGAGUAGGGAAUCUUCCGCAGGGGGCGAAAGCGUGACGGAGAAACUCCGCGUGAGUGAUGAAGGGCUUCGGAGCGUAAAUCUCUGUUAUUAGGGAAUAACAAAUGUGUAAGUAACGAUGUGAGUAUUGACGGUACCGAAGCAGAAAGUCACGGCUAACUACGU
rnacentral:rRNA from 1 species